AUUGAACGCUGGCGGCAUGCUUUACACAUGCAAGUCGAACGGUAACAGGCCGCAAGGUGCUGACGAGUGGCGAACGGGUGAGUAAUGCAUCGGAACGUGCCCAGUCGUGGGGGAUAACUACUCUUCAGAGUAGCUAAUACCGCAUACGAUCUAUGGAUGAAAGCGGGGGACCGUAAGGCCUCGCGCGAUUGGAGCGGCCGAUGUCCGGUUAGGUAGUUGGUGGGGUAAAGGCUCACCAAGCCCACGAUCUGUAGCUGGUCUGAGAGGACGACCAGCCACACUGGGACUGAGACACGGACAAGACGCCUACGGGAGGCAGCAGUGGGGAAUGUUGGACAAUGGGCGCAAGCAUGAUCCAGCAAUGCCGCGUGCAGGAAGAAGGCCUUCGGGUUGGAAACUGCGUUUGUACGGAACGAAACGGCUCUGGUUAAUACCCGGGGCUAAUGACGGUACCGUAAGAAUAAGCACCGGCUAACUACGUG
rnacentral:rRNA from 1 species